AGAGUUUGAUCAUGGCUCAGAUUGAACGCUGGCGGCAUGCUUUACACAUGCAAGUCGAGCGGCAGCGCGGGGGCAACCCUGGCGGCGAGCGGCGAACGGGUGAGUAAUACAUCGGAACGUGUCCCGUAGUGGGGGAUAACCCGGCGAAAGCCGGACUAAUACCGCAUAUGCUCUACGGAGGAAAGUGGGGGACCCGCAAGGGCCUCACGCCAUGGGAGCGGCCGAUGUCCGAUUAGCUUGUUGGUGAGGUAAAGGCUUACCAAGGCGACGAUCGGUAGCUGGUCUGAGAGGAUGAUCAGCCACACUGGGACUGAGACACGGCCCAGACUCCUACGGGAGGCAGCAGUGGGGAAUUUUGGACAAUGGGGGCAACCCUGAUCCAGCCAUGCCGCGUGCGGGAAGAAGGCCUUCGGGUUGUAAACCGCUUUUGUCCGGGAAGAAAAGGCACCCCCUAAUACGGGAUGCUCUUGACGGUACUGGAAGAAUGAGCACCGGCUAACUACGUGCCAGCAGCCGCGGUA
rnacentral:rRNA from 1 species